AAUAAACCAAUUUUUCAUUUUUUAUCUUCAAUUUUGACUCUUUGUCUUAUUUAAUUUUUUUUACGAUUGAUAUUUUUAUUUUUAUUAGAUGAUAAAUCAUGAAUAUUAUUUUACGUGUGACUAAUCUUUUUAAUUUUUUGAUUUUUUUUUCAAAUAAGACGAAUGUUUCAACGUUAGACACGGAAACC
rnacentral:pre_miRNA from 1 species